UUCUUUCUAACCCUAAUUUCUAAUGACGGCUGCCGCACACUCUCUCUCAUUCUUAAUCUCUUCUCCAGUUCUCUUUCUUCUUGUUUCAAAUUAAGAAUCCAAAUUUUCAAUGGUAUCGGCUUCUUAAAUAUGGGGUUUCUCAACUUCAAUUCUCUAUUUUUUCUGCAAAAGAUUGGAUUAAUCUCACAAAUCUUAACUCUCAAGACAUCGUCCAGGUUAGUUUCAUUUUUUUUUUCAUUUAUUUGUUUAUUACUUGGCGUUUGACAGAUUGUAUGAUUCUUGAGGUCUGCAAUUUUUGGUAGUAGUUUUAUUUUUAUUGUUCGAUUUUUCUUUGAAGAGCAAUUUGUCUAUUUCAGUUUUUUUUCUUUUUCUUUUGUGGGUAAGAAUUUGAAUGCCAUAAGAGAAAACCAGUGCAGAAAGCUAAUUUACUUGAUCAACUAUUAUGUCACAAAACUCAGGAUUCAAUUCCUAUUUUUGGUAUUGUAUAUGUACUUCACUUUUGUUGAUUAUGUACUGGAAAAUUCCUGAAGUACUUUGCACUAAAAUAUAUAAUUUAUUUUGGCUCUUAUCCAUUAGGAAUACUCAAGAACAUAAUCUUUAUACAGGCAGACAAACGAUGUUAGGGACACUAUUUAGUGGAUUUUCCAAAAUAUUGCAACAGGCUACACUUGCAAUUUUUGUGCCUAUUCCAGAGCAUGAUGAUCAAAUUGCGUGGCUUGAAAAUUCUUCAGGGAUGUUUACCGUAAAGGAUGCUAUGAAAACAUUCCGGCCCGAGGUACCGCUGUACAUUGAAGUAGUUUAGUAUGGUAUGAAAAUCACAUCCUAGACAUGUUUUUAUAUUGUGUUUGGUAUGUAACAAAACUUAGUACGCUGGAUUUGAGGAAAUGCAGUGUUUUCAGUUGGGGAAAAAUUCCUAGAACUCAUGAAAAUUGGAUUCUACUUGUAGAGUGGGGCUUAGAUUUUAAGCAAUUUUGUUGGUUUGCGAUGCUUAGCGUUAUUUUGCUGAUGUAGUUUGAGGAUUUCCUCGUGUAUGUGCUACAUUGCAAAUCAUUAAUGAAUUCUUUCUGUUUUGCUAAAAAAAAUUAUUUUUUUGAUAGGUAUAACUGAGAUGAAUUAUUUGCUUGAUUUUACAAUUUAAAAAAUUAAUCUAUGAAAGUCAAGUGGUUUGAAAUAUUUAACUUUUUAGCAAGUGAUGUCUUGAAUUAGUCUAUGAGAUUUCUU
rnacentral:lncRNA from 1 species